rnacentral:lncRNA from 1 species
AGAAUCAACUUUGCCCGGGGAUGGGAUGCUAUGCGCUGUAGAAAGAAAUUAAAAAGUUACAAAUUUGAAGGAACAAUAUAUUCUAAAAAAAUGCAAUACCAGCCAUAAAGAAAAUGAGGAAACUUGUAAAUUAGUAUCAAAUGCUAAUGAGUACCACUUGGAAACUUCAACCAUGACGCACAGUAAACCUAAUAAACCCAUUAUUAAUUUCUUAAAUAGUCACACUAUUGAAUCACACUUUACAAGCAUCCUGGCAGCUCUAACAUGUGGAAAUGUCCAUCAUGGCAAUCCAUUAUCCAUUGGUAUUAAUUUUGUCUGUUCCCUUAAUUUGGAAACCAGUAACCAAACUAAUAUUACCACUGACAAAAAAAAAAUUGACGUGGAAGAAGUGAUAUCAAAAGAUUUACCAGCUUAGGAUAUUGCUGCUGACUUGGUGCCUAAUAGAGCGGAAUGGCAAAAAGGAUCCUUAUAGACUAUUCCAACUAGUUUGGGUUAAGCCUUUGUUAUUCUGAAGUUCAAAAAUGAUAAAUUAAAAUUUUCUAAUAUCUGUUUCUAUAACCUGUUUAUUUAGCAAUCUUCAAUUUGAAAAAGGAAAAGCUUAUCUAUAGUAUAACAAUGAAUUAUUCAACUUCAACAGCAUAUGCACACUUUUUUUUUCUUAGAAGACAAAUAGUGACAGAUUAUUUCCCAUUAUUCUUGAAAAGUAAACACUUACAGUCUGUUUAAACACUAUAAAUUUGCAAGAAUUGAAUAGAUUUCUUUUUGUUAAUUAUCGUGAUUGGAACUAUAAUAAGUGAAAGAGUUCAAUUUUUUAACUUAAAAGAAUUAAUUUUAAAAGAAAUAAAAGCAGUAUGAUUGUGUGAGAAUUCACUUUAUUUCUUUUCUUGCAGAUAAUUCACUCCAAACAAAGCCUUAAAUAGUCCAUGUAAUUGAAUUCAUAAAAGUUGAAAUCAUUUAAGCAAGCUUUCAAUCUACAAGACAAAACAAAACAAAAGUCAAAAGAAAGUUGAGAUCACAAAAAUAUAACCUGAAAUAAAGCAAGUGCCCAGCGAACUCUAUUGCUAAGGUAUGGAGAAGACACUGAACGGUUUACUGACAUUAUUAAUCAGUAGAAGGGUAGAAAAUUAAAGGAAUGCGUAUAUGUUACUAUGUUAGAAAAAAAUUCAAUAUUUACAAAGAAAUAUGUUGUACCUGUAUCAGUAUAGAUACAGCACCAAAAGAAUGCCAUAAUAAUAAAGGUAGACUAUUUUCACGAAUUGAAUCAUCCUGGAGUAUGAAAAAAAAAGUUACAAGAAACAUUAAUCUGAAGUUCUCUAUGUCUCCAAAAUGAGAUCAUAAAAUCCUAAAGGUCCUUACAACAUAAAUUAAAAUUUGAACGACGCCACUUGGACUGCUGAAAGCAAUCAACAGAGACAAUGGUGACAACUCCCACUAAAAAAUAAAAUUUAAAUUUGCGAUCAACAAUGGUGCCGAAUAUUCACGUUUCUUUUGAACAUACAUAUGUUCCAAAGAAUUGGAUUACUAUUGCCUUUGUCUAGACAUUAAGAAGGUGAUUUCAACCAUGUUUAAUUAUGAACAGGAAAACCUUGUCAUCUCAGGAUCAUCAACAAUGGCAUGCUUAAUUAUUGAUUCCACAUACAUAUAAGAGAAGAUGCAUAUACAUACCCGUUAUGCUGGAUAAUUUCUCAAGAUUUUUUUUCAGACCACAAAAGUCCUUUUCUCUUUAAGGUGAAAUUAUGGAAAGUUCAAGCUCAUAUGAAGAUCUGCUGAAUAACUAUUAGAUUAAAUAUUUACAUAUAAAUUUGUGCAUUCAUUAAUGCAUAUUUUUAUCAAUUGGGUAUACAAAUCUUGAUAUAAAUAUUUCAUCUAACAAUAAUUAAGCCAUUCUUCUACGAGUUCCAGCUUAUACACCAUUCUUCUUUCUUUAAAUAGUUCAAUAAAUAGGAAGAUUCAUGUUUGGCAAGGCGUGCAGUGCUAUCUUUCCUUUCUCCUAAUCAGAAGGAAAGAAAUUCAUAAUCUCAGAAUAAAACAGAAAACUACUUGCUACCCGUAUAAUUUCAAUAUCAGAUUAUUCUCAAAUGUUACUCAAAACUUGGGGGGAGGGGGUGAAGAAAAAGAAAAAGAAAAAGAAAAAGAAAAAGAAAAAGAAAAAGAAAACACCUAUAAAAUAUAACAAAAUCCCUUCUUUAAAUACAAAAGAUCUUUGAGUACUAAACCCAAAAGGUAAAAGAAAGCAAUACACAAAUUAUACAAAUUACACAAAUAAAAGUUAAUCGAAGAAAAAAAAAUGGAAAAAGAAAAACGUAAAAAACCUGGACUAGUGAUUGAAGAGCAGCCUCCCGUGUUUCUUUACAGUGUAAUGCUUGAAUCUGCUGAAUCACCAUAAGCAUUUCUGCUGAAUCCGGAUUCUCAGCCAUUGUCGUCAGACUCAGAUACACUUGAAAAGAAACGAACCAAAAGAAACAAAGAAGAGAAGUUUAAUCUUUUCAGUUCGCAAACAAUGUUUCUUUCGUCGUCUUGGUGAAUGUGAGAGCGAUGGAGAUGGAACAGUUGGAAAUAGAAUCCAAGACUUGAG